rnacentral:rRNA from 1 species
GUGAGGAAUAUUGGUCAAUGGGCGAGAGCCUGAACCAGCCAAGUCGCGUGAAGGAUGAAGGUUUUAUGAAUUGUAAACUUCUUUUGCAGGGGAAUAAAGUACGGUACGUGUACCGUUUUGUAUGUACUCUGCGAAUAAGGAUCGGCUAACUCCGUGCCAGCAGCCGCGGUAAUACGGAGGAUCCAAGCGUUAUCCGGAUUUAGUGGGUUUAAAGGGUGCGCAGGCGGGUUGAUAAGUCAGCGGUGAAAGUUUGCAGCUUAACUGGAAAAUUGCCGUUGAAACUGUAGGUCUUGAGUGCAAAUGAGGUAGGCGGAAUGUGUUGUGUAGCGGUGAAAUGCUUAGAUAUAACACAGAACUCCGAUUGCGAAGGCAGCUUACUGGGAUGCAACUGACACUGAUGCACGAAAGCGUGGGUAUCAAACAGGAUUAGAUACCCGUGUAGUCC